AUUAAUACCCAAUUGGAAACCUUGCGUUCGCAUUGAGCAUCUAGUUCCUCGAAAUAAAAUAGUAAACUCUAGGGGAAGCCAAAAGAACUAUCAUUCAUUAGAAAAUGGGGAGAAUGUUGUAGGUUUUUUGCAAAAUGGUUCUGAAACCGUCAAUUUUUUUAGGACUUCAAGUUGCCUUGACUCUUGUUCUCUAGGAGGGUCAGUUCCAACUACAGAAACAGAUGAAAUUUCAAGUGUUAUGAAACUUAAUGAGAUGGUAUCCCAUGUUGAUGAGUUUAGUAACCAGAGUGCAACAGGAGCCGAUGAUCGGUAUUCUGAGAUGUCAUAUGUUUCUGCCGCUUCUAGUGAUUGGAAUGAUAAAAAGUUAUCUUUCAAUUCAAACUUAUCCACAGACUCGGCGCUCACAGAUUUUGAUGGGCAUGGAUUAAAAGGUGCACUGGGUGAGGUUUUUGGCAGGAUGGAAAUUACAUUACCCGAUGACAAUAGCAAAUUCAUGGACAUUAACAGCACCCAUAUGGAAAUCUCUUCUAGUUAUCCAACGAGUAUUUCCUCAUUGCAUAAGAAUGAUGAUGAAGAUUUGAGAAGGGAGCUGGAAAAGAUAGAGGCGCAAUAUCAUGAGGAAAUUAAAGCCAUAUCAAAAAAAAGGCAUGAAGCUAUCUUGGAGACAACA
rnacentral:misc_RNA from 1 species